rnacentral:piRNA from 1 species
UGGAACUAUCUCUUACUUAGGUGUCUUCUUC